rnacentral:rRNA from 1 species
GAUGAACGCUGGCGGCGUGCCUAAUACAUGCAAGUCGAGCGAACGGACGAGAAGCUUGCUUCUCUGAUGUUAGCGGCGGACGGGUGAGUAACACGUGGAUAACCUACCUAUAAGACUGGGAUAACUUCGGGAAACCGGAGCUAAUACCGGAUAAUAUUUUGAACCGCAUGGUUCAAAAGUGAAAGACGGUCUUGCUGUCACUUAUAGAUGGAUCCGCGCUGCAUUAGCUAGUUUGUAAGGUAACGGCUUACCAAGGCAACGAUGCAUAGCCGACCUGAGAGGGUGAUCGGCCACACUGGAACUGAGACACGGUCCAGACUCCUACGGUAGGCAGCAGUAGGGAAUCUUCCGCAAUGGGCGAAAGCCUGACGGAGCAACGCCGCGUGAGUGAUGAAGGUCUUCGGAUCGUAAAACUCUGUUAUUAGGGAAGAACAUAUGUGUAAGUAACUGUGCACAUCUUGACGGUACCUAAUCAGAAAGCCACGGCUAACUACGUG